GACGAACGCUGGCGGCGUGCUUAACACAUGCAAGUCGAACGGAAAGGCCCUGCUUUUGUGGGGUGCUCGAGUGGCGAACGGGUGAGUAACACGUGAGUAACCUGCCCUUGACUUUGGGAUAACUUCAGGAAACUGGGGCUAAUACCGGAUAGGAGCUCCUGCUGCAUGGUGGGGGUUGGAAAGUUUCGGCGGUUGGGGAUGGACUCGCGGCUUAUCAGCUUGUUGGUGGGGUAGUGGCUUACCAAGGCUUUGACGGGUAGCCGGCCUGAGAGGGUGACCGGCCACAUUGGGACUGAGAUACGGCCCAGACUCCUACGGGCGGCAGCAGUGGGGAAUAUUGCACAAUGGGCGGAAGCCUGAUGCAGCAACGCCGCGUGCGGGAUGACGGCCUUCGGGUUGUAAACCGCUUUCGCCUGUGACGAAGCGUGAGUAACGGUAAUGGGUAAAGAAGCACCGGCUAACUACGUG
rnacentral:rRNA from 1 species